UAGCAAUAUUUGAUGACUGGGUAAGGCUCCAGAGAUCAUUUAUUUUGAAAAACAAAUUUUGCUUCUCCGGGACAAAGAUCAGAUGGCAGCAAUUAAAAAGGACUUUGUUCAGUGCCUCCAAUAAAGCAGAGGUAAUGAAGAGGUCUUCUGUGGGAGGCAAGCAAAGCGGUAUAGCAGGGUCAGCAGAAGCACCAAGCAUGAAAUAUUACCCUGAUAAGCCGAGAUCAGGAAAAAAAACGGCCACAGAGAGGUGUUGCCUGCGUGUCCCGCGGCCCCAAUGCCACCGUUGCCCUCGUCGCCUCCAGCCCGCGCCGGGACGCGUCUUAGCUGCUGUGAAACUCUGCCACCAAAAGCUGCAUCCUCGGCAGGGAUCCAAGGAAGGUUUUUCCCUGCAGCACCUUGGGUAAGUACAACGCAUUUCCUGCGCUGCUGUGAUGCCUACAGAAAAUCAACGACUCAAAACGAUGUCACCUGGGACCUUUUCUUAACCAAAAAAGUACUCGAGCUGCUACGUUUUUCUUUGGAGGCCCAGAAACUCCAAAACGGCUAUUGCACUAUUUCAACCCUAAUACCCUAUUUCCCGUUUUACAUUGUCAGACCCCGUUUUCUAUUGUCAGCGUAUCCAGCACGCAGCUCUUUUUGUAAUUCUAUGGGAAUUAGCCACUUCUCCAGGCACGUGCAGUUCAGCCUCCAGAAACAGUCCCGUGCGGACAGACAG
rnacentral:lncRNA from 1 species